rnacentral:tRNA from 1 species
GGCUUUGUGGUCGAGUGGUAAGGACACUUGCCUCUCAUCCUGGAGUCCCGGGAUCGAUCCCCGAUACUGGGUACCU